rnacentral:rRNA from 1 species
GUGGGGAAUCUUAGACAAUGGGCGCAAGCCUGAUCUAGCCAUGCCGCGUGAGCGAUGAAGGCCUUAGGGUUGUAAAGCUCUUUCGUGGGGGAAGAUAAUGACUGUACCCCAAGAAGAAGCCCCGGCUAACUCCGUGCCAGCAGCCGCGGUAAUACGGAGGGGGCUAGCGUUGUUCGGAAUUACUGGGCGUAAAGCGCACGUAGGCGGACUGGAAAGUCAGGGGUGAAAUCCCGGGGCUCAACCCCGGAACUGCCUUUGAAACUCCCAGUCUUGAGUUCGAGAGAGGUGAGUGGAAUUCCGAGUGUAGAGGUGAAAUUCGUAGAUAUUCGGAGGAACACCGGUGGCGAAGGCGACCACCUGGCUCGGUUCUGACGCUGAGGCGCGACAGCGUGGGGAGCAAACAGGAUUAGAAACCCUAGUAGUCC